rnacentral:lncRNA from 14 species
GCUGUGGGGCUAUGGGAGCAGUGGGGCAGCACUGACACCCUCUCUGUGCAGGUGAAGGCUGCAGGUGUGCUCUGCCGGGGCAGCAAGAACGACUGUGACCUGCCCGAGCACUGCACGGGGCUCAGCGCCGAGUGCCCAGAGGAUGUGUUCCAGGAGAACGGCAUCCCCUGCCACAACGGCAAUGGUUACUGCUACAACGGGGCCUGUCCCUCGCACGGCGAGCAGUGCCGUGCGCUCUGGGGUGCAGGUACCAGCUCCCCACCAUCCUCACCCCAUGCACCGGGUGAUGUGCUGCCAUGUACCUGGUCAUCCAUCACUUGGCUGUGGUCCCCUCCUGUAUCCCAGCGCUGUGGAUGCUGGAGCCUGGCACCGCUGUGAGCUCUGGCUCCGAGUGACCCUUUCCAUGCAUCCCACAGAGGCUCAGGUGGCUCCCGAUGUCUGCUUCAAGCACAACAGCGAGCAGCACCUUCACCUCCACUGCCUCACCGAGUACGGGAAGCGGCCCUGCAGCCCCAAGGAUGUGAAGUGUGGCACACUGCUGUGCCUGAGCGACAACACCAGCCCCGUCCUCGGCGCCGGCUCCUACUCCCUCUUCUUCGGCCGCUUCAAGUGCAAGGCAGUCAUCGCCAGCAGCGAUGCCAACGAGGUGGUGGCCAAGCUGCGGCUGGUGCCCACCGGUGCCAAGUGUGGAGAGGAGAUGGUGAGCGGCCAUGCUGGGGGGUCUGGGGUUGUGGGCACCCCAUGGGGAGCCAGGGCAGGCUCAGAGCCCCCCCGUCUAUCCACAGGUGUGCUAUGGUGGGCGCUGCCAGAACCUCCUGGUGUACGGCAACAAGAACUGCUCGGCCAAGUGCAACAACCACGGGGUACGCACUGGGGUCUGUCAGAGCACCGCUCCCGGCUCCCGCAGCGCUCACUGCCCUGAUGCCUUCCUCCCUCAUCCCAGGUGUGCAACCACAAACGGGAAUGUCACUGUGAGCCGGGCUGGGCAGCGCCCUACUGUGAGCAUCAGCUGUCGGGGAUGGAGACAGGUACGGACCCACCUUUGCCCGUCCCGCACCAGCAGCUGCAUCCAGGCGGAUGCUGCCCCAUCCCUCUGGAUGCCCAUCCCGACUCCGGCCGUGUCUCCACAGGGAACAGCAGUGUGGUG